rnacentral:rRNA from 1 species
GACGAACGCUGGCGGCGUGCUUAACACAUGCAAGUCGAGCGGUAAGGCCCUUUGGGGUACACGAGCGGCGAACGGGUGAGUAACACGUGAGUAAUCUGCCUUUGGCUUGGGAAUAACUUCGGGAAAUCGGGGCUAAUGCCUGAUGUUUACUGUCUGCUGCAUGGUGGGUGGUGGAAAGAUUUUUUGGCCAGGGAUGAGCUCGCGGUCUAUCAGCUUGUUGGUGGGGUAAUGGCUACCAAGGCUUUGACGGGUAGCCGGCCUGAGAGGGUGUUCGGCCACACUGGGACUGAGACACGGCCCAGACUCCUACGGGAGGCAGCAGUGGGGAAUAUUGCGCAAUGGGCGUAAGCCUGACGCAGCGACGCCGCGUGGGGAGU